GAUGAACGCUGGCGGCGUGCCUAAUACAUGCAAGUCGAGCGAACGGACGAGAAGCUUGCUUCUCUGAUGUUAGCGGCGGACGGGUGAGUAACACGUGGAUAACCUACCUAUAAGACUGGGAUAACUUCGGGAAACCGGAGCUAAUACCGGAUAAUAUUUUGAACCGCAUGGUUCAAAAGUGAAAGACGGUCUUGCUGUCACUUAUAGAUGGAUCCGCGCUGCAUUAGCUAGUUGGUAAGGUAACGGCUUACCAAGGCAACGAUGCAUAGCCGACCUGAGAGGGUGAUCGGCCACACUGGAACUGGGACACGGUCCAGACUCCUACGGGAGGCAGCAGUAGGGAAUCUUCCGCAAUGGGCGAAAGCCUGACGGCGCAACGCCGCGUGAGUGAUGAAGGUCUUCGGAUCGUAAAACUCUGUUAUUAGGGAAGAACAUAUGUGUAAGUAACUGUGCACAUCUUGACGGUACCUAAUCAGAAAGCCACGGCUAACUACGUG
rnacentral:rRNA from 1 species